rnacentral:rRNA from 1 species
GAUGAACGCUGGCGGCGUGCCUAAUACAUGCAAGUCGAGCGAACAGAUAAGGAGCUUGCUCCUUUGACGUUAGCGGCGGACGGGUGAGUAACACGUGGGUAACCUACCUAUAAGACUGGAAUAACUCCGGGAAACCGGGGCUAAUGCCGGCUAACAUUUAGAACCGCAUGGUUCUAAAGUGAAUGAUGGUUUUGCUAUCACUUAUAGAUGGACCCGCGCCGUAUUAGCUAGUUGGUAAGGUAACGGCUUACCAAGGCAACGAUACGUAGCCGACCUGAGAGGGUGAUCGGCCACACUGGAACUGAGACACGGUCCAGACUCCUACGGGAGGCAGCAGUAGGGAAUCUUCCGCAAUGGGCGAAAGCCUGACGCAGCAACGCCGCGUGAGUGAUGAAGGUCUUCGGAUCGUAAAACUCUGUUAUUAGGGAAGAACAAAUGUGUAAGUAACUCUGCACGUCUUGACGGUACCUAAUCAGAAAGCCACGGCUAACUACGUG